CAGGCAUUCUGAGGAACUCUGGGACCCUGUACCACCCACAAUUUUUCUGACUGGAAGACUGCUGGGAACUCAUCACCCUAUCAGAUAAAUUUACUCCUCCCACCUGACCUCAGAGAAACAGCAGAUGCCAUGGCUUCUGUACUCCUGAUUUGGAAUGCCAUUCCACCAAGCUCCUGGAACAUUUUUGUAGGUUGUCGUUUGACACUUUUGGGGGGAUCCACCACCCAGUUCCCCAAUAAAUCACACAGAGGCUUAU